CCAUGAUAUAAAGAGACAUAUUUAACCACCUGCUGAAAGAAAUCUUAGAGGCCAGAGUGGUCACUUUCAUUUCUCAAAUGAAGAAAUUGAGGAUCAGAGACAGGGAGGUCUGACAUCUCUGUCUACGGUCAGAGAAGUUGCUGAUCCCAGACUUCAGAGUCAGUCUCCCAUAUUGCUUUUCGAAUCACAGAAUCUGGCCAAAGAUACACAGAAGAUUAGAGCUGGAAAGUAAUUUAGUGACCCGAUGUUGGCAUUUUACAAAUUAAAAAUGAAAAAGGAAGGAUCAGGAGGUGAAGACCCAAGUGGGAGGAAGCACCCUUUGGAUGAGGUUACUGCUGCUGCCACCAUGAAGCCGAGUUAACAUGAGGUGGAAAUCAGCCUUAAAAUCUAGGGGCUGUCCCUGCCAUCACUGUGCUGUCUGACAAUCACAAUAUUAAAUGUCCCCAGGACAAUGCUGUGGGCAGUUCCAGAUACCCUGCCUUGGCUAUACCUCUGCCCUAAAACUGGACCAGGGUCUUUCCUAUUGUCAGAGUUUCUCAUAAAACUGAUAAAUAGAUAAUCUGUCCACUUUGAACACCAAGAAAAAGAGAAAAACUGUGUCAUUGACUAUCACUCUCUACGCUCU
rnacentral:lncRNA from 1 species